ensembl:lncRNA
AUGUCUACAACAACGGAGACUUCCACAAUCACAACAAUUCCUGCUGGAACAUCGACCACUAAUGUACAAGAAAUGACUUUAACAACAGAGACUUCCACAAUCACAACAAUUCCAGCUGAGACCUCUACUAUCAUUGUAGCAGAAACAUAUACUACAAUAGAGACUUCCACAGUCACAACAAUUUCAGCUGAAACAUCCAAUAUCAGUUUAGCAGUAACAUCUACAACAACAGAGCCUUCAACAAUCACAACUACACCUGAAAUAUCCUCCACUAGUGAAGCAGGAAAACCUACUACAAAAGAGACUUCCACAAUCACGAGUCCUGCUGAAACAUCCACCAUUAGUGUAGCAGAAAUAUCUUCAACAACAGAGACUUCCACAUUGACAACAACUGCGGUUGAAACAUCCACAAUUAGUGCAGCAGAAACAUCUACAAGAAGAGAUACUUCCACAAUUACAACAAUUCCUGCUGAAACAUCCACCACUAGUGACGCAGAAACGUCUUCAACAACAGACACUUCCACAAUCACAACAAUUCCUGCUGAAACCUCUACUAUCAGUGUAUCAGAAACAACUACAACAACAGAGAGUUCCACAAUCACAACAAUUCCAGCUGGAACAUCCACUGUCAGUGCAGCAGAAAAAUCUACAACAGAGACUUCAACAAUCACAAUAAUUCCAGCAGAAACAUCCACUACUAGUACAGCAGAAACAUCUUCAGCAACAGAGACUUCCACAAAAAUGACACCUGCUGAAACAUCCACCACUAGUGCAGCAGAAACAUCUACAGCAACAGAGACUUCCACAAUCACUACUCCUGCCGAAACAUCAACCACUACUGAAGCAGAAACAUCUACGUCAAAAGAGACUUCCACAAUCACAACAAAUCCUGCCGAAUCAUCCACCACUAAUGCAUCAGAAACAUCUACAAGCACAGAGACUUCCACAAUACCGACACCUCCUGAAACUUCCAACACUAUUGAAGUAGAAACAUCUACAACAACAGAGAUUUCCACAAUCAUAACAAAUCCAGUUGAAACAUCCACUUUUAGUUUAGCAGAAACAUCUACAACAACAGAGACAUCCACACUCACAGCCACUCCUGCUAAAACAUCCACCACUAGUGCAGCAGAAACAUCUACAACAACAGAGACUUCCACAAUUACAACAAUUGCUGUGGAAACCUCUAGUAUCAGUGUAGCAGAAACAUCUACUACAAAAGAGACUUCCACAAAAACGACACCUGCUGAAAUAUCCACCACUAGUGAAGCAGAAAUAUCUUCAACAACAGAGACUUCCACACUCACAACAACUGUGGUUAAAACAUCCACAAUUAGGCCAGUAGAAACAUCUACAAGAACAGAUACUUCCACAAUCACAACAAUUCCUGCUGAAACAUUUACCACUAGUGCUACAGAUACGUCGUCAACAACAGAGACUUCCAAAAUCACAACAAUUCCUGCUGAAAUAUCCACCACUAGUGCUGCAGGAACAUCUACACCAAUAGUUACUUCCACAAUCUCAACAAUUCCUGCUGAAGCCUCUACUAUCAGUGUAGCAGAAACAUCUACAACAACAGAGACUUCCACACUCACAACAACUGCCAUUGAAACAUCCACAAUUAGUGAAGUAGAAACAUCUGCCAGAACAGAUACUUCCACAAUCACAACAAUUCCUGCUGAAACCUCUAUUAUCAGUGUAGCAGAAACAUCUACAACAACAGAGAGUUCCACAAUCACAACAAUUCCAGCUGAAACAUCCACUAUCAUUUUAGCAGAAACAUCUACCACAUUAGAGACUUUAACAAUCACAACUACACCUGAAAUAUCCACCACUAGUGAAGCAGAAACAUCUACUACAAAAGAGACUUCCACAAUCAUGAGUCCUGCUGAAACAUCCACCAUUAGUGUAGCAGAAACAUCUAAAACAACAGAGACUUCCACAAUCACUACGCCUGCUGAAACAUCAACCACUACUGAAGCAGAAACAUCUACUUCAGAAGAAACUUCCACAAUAACGACACCUCCUGAAACAUCCACCACUAGUGAAGUAGAAACAUCUACAACAACAGAGACUUCCACAAUCACAACAAUUCCAGCUGAAACCUCUACUAUCAUUGUAGCAGAAACAUCUACAACAUUAGAGACUUUAACAAUCACAACUACACCUGAAAUAUCCACCACUAGUGAAGCAGAAACAUCUACUACAAAAGAGACUUCCACAAUCAUGAGUCCUGCUGAAACAUCCACCAUUAGUGUAGCAGAAAUAUCUUCAACAACAGAGACUUCCUCAAUCACAACAAUUCCUGCUGAAACAUCAACCAAUAGUGCAACAGAAACAUCAACAGAGACUUCCACAAUCACAAAAACUCCUGCUGAAACAUCCACCACUAGUGUAGCCGAAACAGCUUCAACAACAACAACAGACACUUCCACAAUUACAACAACUGCAACUGAAAUAUUCCCUACUAGUGUAGCAGAAACAUCAACAACAAAAGCAACAACAACAGUAGUCACAAUUCUUGGUGGAAGUACUACUGCAGGAUUUUCCACAACAGCUUCACAAACAACAUCUACUGCAGUAACUUCUGUGAUCCCCACUUCAACCCCUGCUGAAAGCACCACUGUCAGUACAGCCACAACAUCCACAACACCAACAGCUACAAUAACACAUCCACAAACAGCUACAACAACACAUCCUUUAACAGUGACAUCAGUUGCUUCUGGAACUACUACUGCAGGAAUUUCCACAACAGCACCACAGACGACAACUACUGUAGUACCUGUUGUGAGUGCUUCUUCAAACACUAUCGAAAGCGCCACUUUCAGUACAGCCACAACAUCUAUAACACCAACAGAUACAACAAAACAUCCUUCAACAGUGACAUCAACUCUUGCUGGAACUACUACUGCAGGAGUUUCCACAACAGCGCCACAGACGACAACUACUGCAGUAACUUCUGUGAUUUCCCCUUCAAUCACUAUCGAAAGCACCACUAUCAGUAGAGCCACAACAUCCACAACACAUUCUUCAGCAGUGACAUCAACUGCUGCUGGAACCACUACUGCAGGAGUUUCCACAACAGCACAACAGACGAGCACUACGGAAGGACCGGGUGUGAAUCCCUCUGGAACCACUAUUGAAAGCACCACUGUCAGUGCAGCCACGACAUCCACAGCACCGACAGCUACAACAACACAUUCUUUAACAGUGACAUCAACUGCUGCUACGGCGACCACCGAAAUCGUCUCCCUUACCCCACCCGACGCUCUUCCGAUCUCAGUACCUGUUGUGAGUCCUUCUUUAACCACUAUUGAACGCACCACUGUCAGUGCAGCCACAACAUCCACAGCACCAACAGCUACAACAACACAUUCAUCAACAAUGACAUCAACUGCUGCUGGAACUACUACUGCAGCAGUUUCCACAACAGCACCACAGACGACAACUACUGCAGUACCUGUUGUGAGUCCUUCUUUAACCACUAUUGAAAGCACCACUGUCAGUGCAGCCACAACAUCCACAACACCAACAGCUACAAUACAUCCACAAACAGCUACAACAACACAUCCUUUGACAGUGACAUCAAGUCCUGCUGGAACUACUACUGCAGGAGUUUCCACAACACCGCCACCGACAACAACUACUGCAGUAACUUCUAUGAUUUCCCCUUCAAUCACUCUUGAAAGCACCACUAUCAGAACAGCCACAACAUCCACAAAACAUCCUUCAACAGCGACAUCAACUGCUUCUGGAACGACUACUGCAGGAACUUCCACAACAGCUCCACAUAUGACAACUACUGCAGUACCUGUUGUGAGUGCUUCUUCUUCGUGUUACGACGACCCCACAGCUCUUCCAUCCAUCACUACACCACGCUCUUCCGAUCUAACAACACAUCCUUGGACAGUGACAUCAAGUCCUGCUGGAUCUACUACUGCAGGAGUUUCCACAACAGCACUACAGACGACAACUACUGGAGUACCUGUUGUGAUUCCUUCUUCAACCACUAUUGAAAGCACCACUGUCAGUACAGCCACAACAUCCACCACGCCAACAGCUACAACAUCACAUCCUUCAACAGUAACAUCAACUCCUGCUGGAAAUACUACUGCAGGAGUUUCCACAACACCGCCACAGACAACAACUACUGCAGUAACUUCUAUGAUUUCCCCUUCAAUGACUAUUGAAAGCACCACUAUCAGUACAGCCACAACAUCCACAACACAUCCUUCAACAGUGACAUCAACUGCUUCUGGAACUACUACUGCAGGAAUUUCCACAACAGCUCCACAUAUGACAACUACUGCAGUACCUGUUCUGAGUGCUUCUUCAACGACUAUUGAAAGCACCACUGUCAGUACAGCCACAACAUCCACAACACCAACAGCUACAACAUCACAUCCUUCAACAGUAACAUCAACUCCUGCUGGAAAUACUACUGCAGGAGUUUCCACAACAGCACCACAGACGACAACUACUGCUGUGACUUCUGUGAUUCCCCCUUUAAUCACUAUUGAAAGCACCACUGUCAGCACAGCCACAGCAUCCACAAAACAUUCUUCAACAGUGACAUCAACUGCUGCUGGAACCACUACUGCAGGAGUUUCCACAACAGCACUACAGACGACAACUACUGGAGUACCUGUUGUGAUUCCUUCUUCAACCACUAUUGAAAGCACCACUGUCAGUGCAGCCACAACAUCCACAGCACCAAUAGCUACAACAACACAUUCUUUAACAGUGACAUCAACUGCUGCUGGAACUACUACUGCAGGAGUUUCCACAACAGCACCACAGACGACAACUACUGCAGUACCUGUUGUGAGUCCUUCUUUAACCACUAUUGAAAGCACCACUGUCAGUGCAGCCACAACAUCCACAACACCAACAGCUACAAUACAUCCACCUACAGCUACAACAACACAUCCUUUGACAGUGACAUCAAGUCCUGCUGGAACUACUACUGCAGGAGUUUCCACAACACCGCCACCGACAACAACUACUGCAGUAACUUCUAUGAUUUCCCCUUCAAUCACUAUUGAAAGCACCACUAUCAGUACAGCCACAACAUCCACAAAACAUCCUUCAACAGUGACAUCAACUGCUUCUGGAACUACUACUGCAGGAAUUUCCACAACAGCUCCACAUAUGACAACUACUGCAGUACCUGUUGUGAGUGCUUCUUCAACGACUAUUGAAAGCACCACUGUCAGUACAGCCACAACAUCCACAACACCAACAGCUACAACAUCACAUCCUUCAACAGUAACAUCAACUCCUGCUGGAAAUACUACUGCAGGAGUUUCCACAACACCACCACAGACGACAACUACUGCUGUGACUUCUGUGAUUCCCCCUUUAAUCACUAUUGAAAGCACCACUGUCAGCACAGCCACAGCAUCCACAAAACAUUCUUCAACAGUGACAUCAACUGCUGCUGGAACCACUACUGCAGGAGUUUCCACAACAGCACUACAGACGACAACUACUGGAGUACCUGUUGUGAUUCCUUCUUCAACCACUAUUGAAAGCACCACUGUCAGUGCAGCCACAACAUCCACAGCACCAACAGCUACAACAACACAUUCUUUAACAGUGACAUCAACUGCUGCUGGAACUACUACUGCAGGAGUUUCCACACAACAUUGGCAUCAACUCCUGCCGGAACUACUACUGCAGGAGUUUCCACAACACCGCCAAAGACAACAUCUACUGCAGUAA